rnacentral:rRNA from 1 species
UACGUAGGGGGCUAGCGUUGUCCGGAUUUAUUGGGCGUAAAGAGCGUGUAGGCGGCCAGGUAGGUCUGCUGGUGAAAACUCGAGGCUCAACCUCGAGACGUCGGCGGAAACCAUCUGGCUAGAGUCCGGAAGAGGAGAGUGGAAUUCCUGGUGUGAGCGGUGAAAUGCGCAGAUAUCAGGAAGAACACCCGUGGCGAAGGCGGCUCUCUGGUACGGAACUGACGCUGAGACGCGAAAGCGUGGGGAGCGAACAGG